GACGAACGCUGGCGGCGUGCCUAAUACAUGCAAGUAGAACGCACAGUUUAUACCGUAGCUUGCUACACCAUAAACUGUGAGUUGCGAACGGGUGAGUAACGCGUAGGUAACCUGCCUGGUAGCGGGGGAUAACUAUUGGAAACGAUAGCUAAUACCGCAUAAUAUUGAUUAUUGCAUGAUAAUUGAUUGAAAGAUGCUAUUGCAUCACUACCAGAUGGACCUGCGUUGUAUUAGCUAGUAGGUGAGGUAACGGCUCACCUAGGCGACGAUACAUAGCCGACCUGAGAGGGUGAUAGGCCACACUGGGACUGAGACACGGCCCAGACUCCUACGGGAGGCAGCAGUAGGGAAUCUUCGGCAAUGGACGAAAGUAUGACCGAGCAACGCAGCGUGAGUGAAGAAGGUUUUCGGAUCGUAAAGCUCUGUUGUAAGAGAAGAACGGGUGUGAGAGUGGAAAGUUCACAAUGUGACGGUAUCUUACCAGAAAGGGACGGCUAACUACGUG
rnacentral:rRNA from 1 species